UGAUCCAACUCUUCAUUUAGUAUCAUCAAUGCUCCAAAUUCAAUUAUGGCCUAUUGAAUUAAGGAUAGGUUCAGCCAGCACGGACUUAAUUCAAUGGCAAUAGACAGUAUUUACAAGAAACGAUCAAAAUUCAAAAUUUAACAAUGACAAUAUAGAGAUUUUGUCCAAAAUGAACAUAUCCUUAUACACAAUUACAUAUGGUUAUCAUAAUUUACUUCCCCUCACGUGCUCGGUCGGGCCACAGGAGCAUUGAGGGCUUUUAUGAUUUUAAAUGUUGAUUUACUGCUUUAUAAUUUUUUACUAACUAGAAUUAGAACACGAAAUUCAUCCAAUGCAUACUAAAUUUGUCAAAUUGUAACUAUAAAGUUGUAAUUUAUUUCCUUAGGAGCAUUUACCCGCUAGGAUUAUAAUCCAAAAUUUACCUAGUAUACUAAAAAAAAAAAUAAUUUACUUCCUGUAAAGUUAAUUGAUACGUUAGA